rnacentral:rRNA from 1 species
GACAGAGGGUGCAAACGUUGUUCGGAAUUACUGGGCGUAAAGCGCGUGUAGGCGGUCCGGUAAGUCCGCUGUGAAAGUCGAGGGCUCAACCCUCGGAUGCCGGUGGAUACUGUCGGGCUAGAGUACGGAAGAGGCGAGUGGAAUUCCUGGUGUAGCGGUGAAAUGCGCAGAUAUCAGGAGGAACACCGAUUGCGAAGGCAGCUCGCUGGAACGUUACUGACGCUGAGACGCGAAAGCGUGGGGAGCAAACAGG